CUGGUUCUCUGGUUUCCUGGUUCCCUGGUUCCUUGGUUCCCUGGUUCCCCGGUUCUCUGGUUCCCUGGUUCUCUGGUUCCCUGGUUCUCUGGUCCCCUGGUUCCCUGGUGCCCUGGUUCUCUGGUCCCCUGGUUCCCGGGUGCCCUAGUUCCUGUUCCCAUGGCUGCCGCAUCUAUUAUGCACGCACCCCUCCUGUUCCAUGAAGGUUCUGGAUGGAGGUCUCAUGAGGGAUUCGGGCAGAGGCUGAUGAAAACAUAAAACAGGCCAGUCUCCAGAUUCAAGGGAGAGCUGGAGACAGCAUUCGUAGCUUGACCAGGCAGCUUUGACCAGGUGUGACAAAGGAAGCCCAGAUGUCCCAGUCUAUUCAUGUUUCUAUCACAAAAUGCCUUUGAAUUGGUAAUUUAUAAACAAUAGAAAUUUAUUUCUUAUCGUUCUGGAGGCCGGAAAGUCCACGAUGAAGACACCAGCUGGUUCCCAGCCGGUGAGGACCCAGCCUCUGCUUCCAAGAUGGCACCUCUGGGCUGCAUCCUCACGUGGGGAGGGGGUGGGAGAAGAAAAGGGGCUGGGCAUGCCCUUCAGCCUCCAUUAUAAGGCGCGGAUCCUGUUCACAAGGGAGGAGCCCGCAUCACUCAGCCUCCUCUCAGAAGGCCCCACCUGUUAACAUCACACGGGGCUUAGGUUUCACUGUACGCAUUUGAGAGGCACCUACAUUCAGACUAUAGCACAGGCCGGCCCCCCACUGCUUCCCAUACUGCCAGAGGCUGGGGCAGCCCCCCGGCCACCAUGUUCCGCCAGCAGGAUGGCUCCUGUCAGCCAGGUGUGCGGGGCCUGGGCACACUGGCAAGAAGCAGGGAGGGCAGUCCAGACCCAGCCGCCCCGUGGCUGCUCCGGGAGACUGUGUCCCUGUUGGAGACUGUGAUAGAUCCACGAUCCGUCCCAGCCAUUGCUCCAUCUGUCUUGUCCGUCAACCCCUCUGCCAGUAUCAUAUGGUAAAUAGUACCAUGAAUACUACAGUUCCAGGCACCCAGGUCACAUCAGAGAACUGACGAGUUAGAGUUUAAUGACACAGUUUGUAGCUAGGGGGGCUGCUUCAGAGCUGAUGACUGGGUGGCAUUGCUGCUCAGAGCUGGUGACUGGGUGACAUUGCUGCCUGGAGCUGGUGACUGGGUGGCAUUGCUGUCUCGAGCUGGUGACUGGGUGGCAUUGCUGUCUGGAGCUGAUGACUGGGUGGCAUUGCUGCCUGGAGCUGCUGACUGGGUGACAUUGCUGUCUGGAGCUGGUGACUGGGUGGCAUUGCUGUCUGGAACUGAUGACUGGGUGACAUUGCUGUCUGGAGCUGGUGACUGGAUGGCAUUGCUGCCUGGAGCUGGUGACUGGGUGACAUUGCUGUCUGGAGCUGGUGACUGGGUGGCAUUGCUGUCUGGAACUGAUGACUGGGUGGCAUUGCUGCCUGGAGCUGAUGACUGGGUGGCAUUGCUGCUCAGAACUGAUGACUAGGGUGGCAUUGCUGCCUGGAGCUGGUGACUGGGUGGCAUUGCUGUCUGGAGCUGGUGACUGGGUGGCAUUGCUGUCUGGAGCUGGUGACUGGGGUGGCAUUGCUGUCUGGAGCUGGUGACUGGGGUGGCAUUGCUGUCUGGAGCUGCUGACUGGGGUGACAUUGCUGUCUGGAGCUGGUGACUGGGUGGCAUUGCUGUCUGGAGCUGGUGACUGGGUGGCAUUGCUGUCUGGAGCUGGUGACUGGGUGGCAUUGCUGUCUGGAGCUGGUGACUAGGGUGGCAUUGCUGUCUGGAGCUGGUGACUAGGGUGGCAUUGCUGUCUGGAGCUGGUGACUAGGGUGGCAUUGCUGUCUGGAGCUGGUGACUAGGGUGGCAUUGCUGUCUGCAGCUGCUGACUGGGCGGCAUUGCUGCUUGGUUGUUGUCAAGCCUCCCCAAGGUCUAAGGUCACCAGCAGGAAUGCCUCGGAAGGAGAGGGCAUAACUGUAGUUCUAGGAGUCUGAGGCCGUUUAACCUUUUCUCCAUCAUUUAGCAGCUUAGAAAUUCAUGUCAUUCCCCAUCUAGGCCUCAAUUUCUCUACCUGUAAAAUGGGGUGUUUGACCCGAAUUCCCUUUACCUGUGAAAUCCUAGGACCUCAUCAUGUCACUUUCAUGCAGCAGAGGCAGCGACCACUGGAGAGGGACACUAAGGACUGCUCCUGGAUCUUGUUUAACCACAAGGAGCUGGGUUUCGAAGACUCCACGAGGGACUUUAGGACCCUACGUUACUUAUCGACAUAAAAAGAGGAGAAGAUAAAGCCUCACAAUUCUUCCUCCCACUUCCUCAGGUGGCCAAUGCUGCUUUUAUUGUGGAAUGGGUUUGCCACAAAGCCUCAGGCGGAUAGAUAAGACUCGGGUCUCUGAAAAAUGACAGCUUGACAUCAAACCAACAAAAUCAAUUUCCAAAUUGAUUAAAACCAUUCUCAAAUAAAACUCCGCUGGCUUUCUCGAAUCCCAUUGUGAAAGGUCAUCUGGGAAACCCUUCGUAAAGGCGUGACCUGCUUCAAGAAACGCGAUAUUUGAAAAAAUGAAAUCUACACAUCGAGACACAUUAAGAGUGACUGUUCGCGUGACAAAAGGGUUUGCCACUUUACAAAAGAUUCAUCCCAGUGUUUCUUAAAGAACCAUACAACUGUGAUGUAUUUUAAAUGUCUUUCAAUUAAAAGAAUUGACUCAUGCUCAA